UACGCGAAGAACCUUACCAAGUCUUGACAUCCCUCUGACCGGUCCGUAACGGGACCUUCCCUUCGGGACAGAGGAGACAGGUGGUGCAUGGUUGUCGUCAGCUCGUGUCGUGAGAUGUUGGGUUAAGUCCCGCAACGAGCGCAACCCUUGUCAUUAGUUGCCAUCAUUUAGUUGGGCACUCUAGUGAGACUGCCGGGGAUAACUCGGAGGAAGGUGGGGAUGACGUCAAAUCAUCAUGCCCCUUAUGUUCUGGGCUACACACGUGCUACAAUGGCCGGUACAGAGAGAAGCAAUAUCGCGAGGUGGAGCAAAUCUUCAAAACCGGUCCCAGUUCGGAUUGCAGGCUGCAACUCGCCUGCAUGAAGUCGGAGUUGCUAGUAAUCGCGAAUCAGAAUGUCGCGGUGAAUGCGUUCCCGGGUCUUGUACACACCG
rnacentral:rRNA from 1 species